rfam:Triticum aestivum genome assembly, contig: Triticum_aestivum_CS42_TGACv1_scaffold_527112_6DL
GGAGAGAUGGCUGAGCGGACUAAAGCGGCGGAUUGCUAAUCCGUUGUAUAAUUUUUUUGUACCGAGGGUUCGAAUCCCUAUCUUUCCG